ACCAAUCUCCCAAUCACUUCACCGUACAUUUCAUUUGUUGAUUUGUGUUGAUUAUUGUUGAAUAAAUUGAACGUCCUGUACCGACAGUUCUUCUGUCAAGGAUUACUUUCUUUACAGGUUGAUUGUGUAAUUCAGCAGAGACUAAUUAACACUCGGUCACAAUCGGCGGUAUAUUUCCUCCUAAACGGUCCUGCACCCUUUGCCUUGAGGUCGCUCUGUGUGGUCUCUCGUCUGGGGAAAAGCCUUAGGUUGGGAAGAUCGACUCUGCCACUAAUAGUGCUUGGUUUGAUCCCAUCAACUCAGGGUAGGCCCGGGGAUGCCCGCCACAAUAGCCUAAUACAUGGACACACAUACAUGUAUUCUCUACUUGGGCUAUCGUGACACCGGGUACAUCAAGUCCUAAACCUACAACUGUAUAUGUUCAGAAAGUUCCUUUGAGGAUUCUUGGGUGGCUCAAACAAUACGGUGUUCUUACAGAAAGUGAAAGAUCACUCUGUCUGCAGGGUAAGCAAAUCAUUGAUGACAACAUACUUGGAGAACAGCUACCCUGUCUCUUCAAAGAUGAUGUGAAUGGUGGAAAGAUGGUGGGCCAAUCAGCAUGCUUGGGCGUCAAAUCCCUGAUGGCAAAGACUGUUCAGCAGCUAGAGAGAUAUGAUCAGAAAGGCCAGUUUUGUUACUUUGAAAAGCAACAAUCAGAGACAUGCUGAUACAGGUUGGUGGUUCUCCUGAAAACAGGGCUGGAAAGUUGACGUGGCACGAUGGCGUCAUCCCUGAUGACAAAAUAUGGAUUAGACGUAGGAGAUAAGGGAGGCCAUACAUGUACCUUCAAGCAAAUGUUCCAGUUUGGGAAUGUACAGAGGCCCAAUGCACUUGCCAGUACAGUUGCUGUGUGUGUCUUCGAGGCAGAUGAUUCUAGUUAUAACUUGGAGCUGGGACUGAGGCGACAUCAGGAACAAGUUGCUGAGCUGAUGAAAUCUACCUGGAGGCACUACAAGUUUGAUGUGUUUCUCUUUGGAGACUAUCAGUAUCUGUGUCGUACAUAUGGCAUCGCUGGAGCAACAGAGCACCGGACCCUGGAAACAAUGGCGAGUGAUCUGUCUAAGUUCAGGGAAGAUGGUUGUCAGCCUUCCAGAGCGAAGUUAUUCAACAAUGUCAUCCGGCCCCUCCAUGCUUCUCAUCCCUCUCACUCAUGUGCGUCCACCAGGUCUUCACAUAAGCCUGGACAUUUUGUUAAAGCGUUAUGUCAGUUUGCAAAGUGCCUGUCAUGAGCUUGGUACCAAGCUAAGUGAAACUUUAGCAAUGUCUGGAGAGCUACAAGCAGAGAAGAACUUGGAGAAGAAUUUGGAGAAUACACAGCUGGUAUAAGAAAUGCCCUUGCACUAGAGGAGGAAGCAGAUGCCUGGAAAGUGAAUGUGGCAGCACUGGAAGACCAACUGUUAGCUCUGGUCCUUCAAACAACAAGCGCUAGUGAUAACAUGGCCACAGUGAUGCUGCUGUGAGAUGCUGUACAGGAAAACUUGUAGCAUUUUCCAUGGACCCCUCCAUAGAAUUCAGUUCUUCAAAGCCGACCCAGAUUUGAGAACCUUCUCCCCUCAGUUCGAUUGUACUGCAAUAUCAUGUUUCUUCCAGGAAUCAGCUGCAGCAUCUCUGAGAAAGAACACCACCCUGCAGCCAGGCCAAGGAUCCCCGACUUCUCAGCUGGACAAGACUCUGCAGGAAAUGGGAGUUCAUCGGCAGGCAUAUCACGGAAAUACAUUUGCUGGGAACCACGUGCACAAAUGUUGCCAGGAAUACAAUAUCAGAAAACUGACAUCCUGUAUUGUCCAGAAAACUGAGGAGUUGUGCCCAACUUUGCCUGCCAAGGAUGAACGAUGCUGAAGACCUUUCCAGGAAGUAUCAACUGCUCACACUCUCUUGAAGGUGCCACAACAAAUCCAAUCUUGGAAGAAGACUUGGUACAGAAGAAAUAGAAGAACUUGAUAAGCAAAAAGCAGACACAAGGUCAAACAAUUUCAUAUCUGCAUACCACGUGGCAGCAGCUAAGUUCCUUGCCUUUCACAUUCAAACCCUGGUUUGAAUCUUGCAGGAUGCAGAGUCAAUUGGAUAUACUGCUUCCCCAUAACAGUCCCCUGUUAUGUGUGGAGGGUUAUUAUGGAGCCAGGACGACCUGCAUUUAGGUGACAACUUCAGCUACUCUUUAUUUCCAACGUGAGCUCUGAGAACUAUCCGAAAGGAGUGACUGACUAGCGCCCUCUAUGGUCUGGUAUAUUACAUCCCCCCUUUUUAAAAGAAAGAUAUGAACAAAUUGCAACUGGUUUGGAAAUUGGAAAAAAAAAAUUUAACGACAAAAAAACCCCAAAAACUGAGCAAAGACGGGAACAGAGAGUCCAUUGAACAGGUAAUAAAUGAACUCAGCUGUUACAUGGAAAAAAAACAAACAUUUUACUGUCUGGUUCUUGGUGAUCUUUUCUUAU